ACCCCACCCACACCAUACACCCCUCUUUUACCCCUGUCGUCUCUCUGCCUCCCUCAGACUCUAUCUCCAACCCCUUUCUCUCUCUACCUUCCCCAGAUUCGGUCCAUCCUCUCUCGUUCUCGAUCUCUCUCAUAUCUACCUCCCUCAGACUCCUUUCUCUUGCCUCCAUCUCUCUCUCUCUCUCUCUCUCUCUCGCUCUCCAAGACUCCAACCCCCUUUCUAUCUCUACCUUCGCCAGAUUCGGUCGUUCUCUCUUCCUUUCCUGAUCUCUCUCAGAUCUGGGCUUUUUGGCCUGACACCUCCACGAUCCGAGUUUUCUACUAGUGACGAGGUUCCUGUGACCGUGCAGGCAUCAGCGGCGCUGGACAAAGAAGAGGAAAGGCUGUGCAAAUCCGCAGGAACUUUGCUUGUGGUUUGCUUUUGUGGGUUUGAUUUUUGUGUAAUUUUUUAACAAAUUUUGAUUUUUUUGUAUUUUAUCUCGCAGAAAACUCAACUUCUCCUCAGUGCGUUUGUUGUGGUGCUUUGUUGGGGCUUUCCCGGCUAAUAGAGUAUAAAUUUCCCAGAAACUCGACGAACUCAGAGAAAGCAGUUGGAGCAGCUGUGACUUCUAUUUUUUUUCUCUCUAGAAAAUGGUUUACAGUUUUGUAGAUUUCGUUUUGCUGUCAGUUGUGCUUUGUUGGGGCUUUCCCAGCUAAAAGAGUACUUUGCGUUUUGGUUGCUCAAUUAAUAAAUCUGAGAUUUGCUAGCACCUGUGAUAUUGCUGUUAUACUUUGGAAAUGAGAAGAAGAAGAAAUUGAAAGGAUAAAGCUUCAUACUUUGGUGUAUAAUUAAUUGAAGAAAGAGAAAAUUACUUGUUCAAUACUCUGCCAGUUGUGAAAACAGCAACCGAGCCACUAAAUCCAUGUAUGCGGACAAAGAUGGUGGAAGGACUAAGAAAGAUAAGCAAGAGUUAUACUCUUGCAAUCACUAAAGUUGAGGAGUCUGGGGAGCACACGAUAUUAGGGACAGGAGAACUCUACUUGGAUUCAAUAAUGAAGGACCUAAGAGAGCUUUAUUUGGAAGUAGAAGUCAAGGUAAUUGUUUGCUCCCAAUCCUCAUCCUCUCUUCACGUUAUUUGUUUUUAAAGUAACUUUUCUACCCCUUAAGAAUGUAAAUUUAGGGUUUUUGAAAUUUAAUUUUCGAAUUCUAGAUUAGGGUUUCUAAAUUUAGGGUUUGUGAAAUUUAAUUUUCAAAUUCUUGAAAUUUUGGUUUCACGGAUUCUAUUUAAUUGAUCUAAUGGUUCUUGGGUUUUUGCUUAUUGGACCAUCUUUGACUAUUGAGGUUCAAAGUAUUUGUGAAGGUUUUGGUUCAGUGCAGUAGGAAUAAGGCAGAAGCUAGUUGAGAGAAUAUCUGGCAUUUUGUAUAAGAUUUGUGAAGUAAGAUUCUUCCCUUUUUUGUUCUGCUUCAAAGUUUUAAUUUUGUGAGAGGUUCAAAUAUUGCACAUGUUAUCUUCAUUAAUUCGUUUCUGUAGCAGCAGAGGUUUGAUGAAGUGCAAGGCUUGUUGAGGAAGAUGCAUCUGUCCGAAAAUGUUUGUUUUCAAGUCUUUUUGUAUUAGAGAUAAAAUAUGUAACAUUAUAAUAUAUGUUUGUGAGAUUGGGAAAGUGAAAGUUGGUUUCAUGGUUGUAGGCUGUUUUCCUUUUAUGAAAAUUUAAAUUUUUGCA